rnacentral:misc_RNA from 1 species
UAAAAUAUAAAAAAAUUACAAAAACGACAAGAUUAAUUUUAUCCAAAAUCACAUCACAGAAUAUAAAAAAUAUAUGUAUAUAUAAAAAUAAAAAUUAGAAAGUCCUCACUUGGAUUUUAAGGAGGCAUAUGAAAAUUUAGAUUACACAAUGAGAGACUCUCCCAUUACCUAAUCGUCACGAGACUCCAAACAUGUGCUCUAGCAGUAAUUGAAUUUAGGAUGCCUAAGCAGCUUAGGCUAAGCUGUUAUCCUAAAUUCCUACAGACACUGCAGAUUUUGAAAUAAUAAUCAAAACAAAGUAGACUUACUUCACCCUAGUUUUGGGUGGCAAUGGCAAAGACCCCAUUUGGGGGCUAAGCAUUGGGAAAUAUUUACAACAUUAACUAUCUAGCAAGGGAUUUCCAUUAGUUGCUAUAGCUCCCAGCAAAAAAUGCCAAAGGACCAACUAUGGCAGCAUUGAUAUAUGUUGCAGGCUCUGAGUGACUAUAGUCAGAUCGAUCAUCUGAGUACCCGUCAUUCUGGUUGGGGCCGCCGACGAUGGCUCCGAUUAAGAUGUUAGGAUUAGGGUUUGCUGAAUAGUAGAAGGGCUGGAAACCUCCAUCACAACCUAUAGCUUGUGGGUGUCUUGCUAGAGAUGGCAAUGAAGAUCCCCUGUGGUGAAUUCUCUUUGGAUAAUAUGGCCCAAAUCCUACCAUAUAUGACAUUUUUAUUGGGUUCACCCCAAGGAUGUAGUCCACCUGUCUUUUUGCUACAUAUAAGAUGGAAUUAGGGGUGACAAAGAGAUUGCCACAGUUGAAGGUGUGCUUUGUUGCUCUCAUGUACUUGGCAUAUGUCGUGAGCAAAAAUGUUAUGGAUGUUACAUAUUGAAGGUUACUUUCAGGUAGCUUGUACAUGAGUCCCCCUUGUGUGUAUUGUGUAGAACUAGAGGGAGAGUUGGGUAAGAUCUUGCAUAUGAAAUUUUCAGCUUCUUCUUUGUACUGCUCAAAAUUCUUGUCAUUGUUGAGCAGAGCCCUCCUUGACAAGAGCACAUGAGCGCCAGCAUACUUAUUGUCCCAGCUGAAAAGGUCUGGUUGGUCAUCAGCUCCCAAGGAUUUCAACAGAUUGUAGUAGUACAUUUGAUUUGUUGCCCUGAACAGCCAUGCCGCUCCCCAUAGCAGCUCAUCCUUAUAGCCAGAAUAUGAGCAAUAAAAAGGGCAAACAGCUGAUCCAAGUGAAUCACUAUAAGCACCCUGAUAUUGCAAUGCAAAUUGCAUAACCUUCUUAGCAGUGCUCAAUAGCAACCUGGAGUAUGCUGGAUCAGCUCUCCGAAAAACCAUGGAAGCAGCAGCUAGAGCAGCAGCAGUUUCACCUGCAACAUCAGAGCCAGGGUUGCUUGGAGACACCGCGUACACUGUACGGACAGUGUCCAUGUCCUCAGGCCUCUCCCAGCAUUUAUGA